AUAGCGGUCCUUCUCAGGGCCAUAAAAAUAAAUGUAAGAAGAAAUAU
rfam:Nestor notabilis contig70285, whole genome shotgun sequence.